rnacentral:misc_RNA from 1 species
UAGGGAGGUGGUGGGGAUGGUGAUGGUGGUGGUGGAGACUUGUAGUAGUAAGGUGGCGGUGGUGAAGGUGAGGGUGGUGGGGGAGGCGAUGGCGAUGGUGGUGGGGGUGACCGGUGGUGAUGGAGAUGGAGGUGGUGGGGACUUAUAGUAAUAGGGUGGAGGAGGAGAUGGUGAUGGUGGGGGAGGAGACUUGUAAUAGUAUGGGGGUGGAGGAGAGGGUGAUGGAGGUGGUGGAGACUUAUAGUAAUA